AGUGAACGCUGGCGGCAGGCCUAAUACAUGCAAGUCGAACGGCAGCACAGCAGAGCUUGCUCUGUGGGUGGCGAGUGGCGGACGGGUGAGGAAUACAUGGGAAUCUGCCCAGUCGUGGGGGAUAACGUAGGGAAACUUACGCUAAUACCGCAUGCGCCCUUCGGGGGAAAGCCGGGGACCUUCGGGCCUGGCGCGAUUGGAUGAGCCCAUGUCGGAUUAGCUAGUUGGCGGGGUAAAGGCCCACCAAGGCGACGAUCCGUAGCUGGUCUGAGAGGAUGAUCAGCCACACUGGAACUGAGACACGGUCCAGACUCCUACGGGAGGCAGCAGUAGGGAAUAUUGGACAAUGGGCGCAAGCCUGAUCCAGCCAUGCCGCGUGAGUGAAGAAGGCCCUCGGGUUGUAAAGCUCUUUUGUCCGGAAAGAAAAGCGCCGGGUUAAUACCCUGGUGUCCUGACGGUACCGGAAGAAUAAGCACCGGCUAACUUCGUG
rnacentral:rRNA from 1 species